rnacentral:lncRNA from 1 species
UUGGACAGACAAAUCUUCAACCUGGAGGAUACCUUUGUCGAGCAAGGCCUGGAUACCCUGCUGUAGUUUCAAACAACCUCCACUCUGAGUGGCACAAUCCAAACAACCCUUCCCACAACCGGGGAAGACAUCGGCCUUCAGCAAGCAUCCUUUGAUAUCCAACAAUGGAGUCUUCAACUUCAACACAUCCUUAAUGGACUU